rnacentral:rRNA from 1 species
UUUGGCAGCCAUAUCACCCUGCAGCCCAAGACUGGUUGCCCACUGAAGCUAAGCAGGGCCGAGCCUGGUCAGUACCUGGAUGGGAGACCUCCUGGGAAAACUAGGUUGCUGCUGGAA